rnacentral:piRNA from 1 species
UAUUUGAAACAACUGAAUUUGACC